rnacentral:rRNA from 1 species
UACGAAGGGGGCUAGCGUUGCUCGGAAUGACUGGGCGUAAAGGGUGCGUAGGCGGGUCUUUAAGUCAGGGGUGAAAUCCUGGAGCUCAACUCCAGAACUGCCUUUGAUACUGAGGAUCUUGAGUACGGGAGAGGUGAGUGGAACUGCGAGUGUAGAGGUGAAAUUCGUAGAUAUUCGCAAGAACACCAGUGGCGAAGGCGGCUCACUGGCCCGUAACUGACGCUGAGGCACGAAAGCGUGGGGAGCAAACAGG